rnacentral:rRNA from 1 species
UACGUAGGGUCCGAGCGUUGUCCGGAUUUAUUGGGCGUAAAGAGCUCGUAGGCGGUUCCGUAAGUCAGAUGUGAAAACUCAGGGCUCAACCCGGAGACGCCAUCUGAUACUGCGGUGACUAGAGUGCGGUAGGGGAGAUUGGAAUUCCUGGUGUAGCGGUGGAAUGCGCAGAUAUCAGGAGGAACACCGAUGGCGAAGGCAGAUCUCUGGGCCGUAACUGACGCUGAGGAGCGAAAGCGUGGGGAGCGAACAGG